rnacentral:tRNA from 1 species
CAAGGCGUAGCUAUAAAACAAAGCAUUCAGCUUACACCUGAAAGAUAUCUGCCACUCACCAGAUCGCCUUGA